CGAAUCCGAUGAUUCUGAUGAAUGCCGUGGGGUAAGUCUUCUUGGCCUCAUCAAGCUCCUUCAACACCUGGGAUGCGUCAGUGCAUCCGAACAUGGGAAGUUUCCACAUGAUCCAGCAGCGCCCAUCAUAGUACCCAGGUAUCCUGAGGUUCUCACGGUACACGAAUCCGUGCUAUACAUGGCAAAAACAAACGCACAGAAUUUAUCAGCACAAAUUGUACAAGAGAGGUGUAGCAGAAUAAUUUUGAUGAACAGAUUACAGAGCUUGAAAUGACCUCCAAUUCGAAUUCCAAGCACGGAACCCACUUAUUGCGAAGAAGGUAUUCUACUUCCUUAAACAACCUCUCUCGAGUGAGAUCAGGGAGGUAUGAGAGAGUCUCAAACUUCUUCUUCCCCAGUGGAGGCCACACCUACAGUCACAAAAAUGGUAUUCAGUUGCAUCAAGCAUUACACUAAAAAAUAAUAGCGAUGAAAAUUAGGCUUAUGCACUGUGUUCAAUUUAGUUGCUAAUUGCUGUGCAUAACCAUAUAGUUGCACCAAGUACCUGCAUGCAUUGCACUCUGCCACCAUUGCUUGCGAGAGAAGUAAUGUCGUUGUUGGCCUUGCGAGCGACUGGGAGAGCAGAGGUAGACUUGAGGCCGGUGAAUGGGGCGACCAUGCUGGCCUGUGCCGGGGAGGCACGGUUAACGGUGGCGACGGUUGCCGAUGAGAUCAUUGAGGAAGCCAUUGCUGAUGCUACUUACUAGUGUAUAUGCUAGAGUUACGAAAUUCUCACUCCCUUGAUAGUGUUUUGCUCCAGUGCA
rnacentral:lncRNA from 1 species